CGGGGAGGGGAGAAGCGGGGAGGCGGGGGCCGCCAUCGCGCCGCUGAGGGGAGCGAGCGCCGCCGUCGGGGGGUCGCUGCCGCUCGCCCCGCUGAGGCGCUGGGGCGGAGGCUCCCGCAGGACCCCGCCGUUGUCUCUUCCCUUCCUUCCCCGGCCGGGCGGACCCCUCGGGCGUCGAGCAAUUAUUGUCUUGGUUAUGAGCCAGUGCUUCGUGUUUCAGAAUUCUUCAUUUUGAAUUUUUAAUAAAAUUGAAGAUGUUCAGUACAGAUCCCCUAACAAACCUGAAUAAAAAUAGCAGAAAUUGUCCUGCUGGUAACCUUUAUCCCGUUGAACUGGAAACCUCCAGUGUAUUUUGGUUGCUGUACUGAAGAAUGUCCUUGCUCUCACCAGGAGAUGAAGACGAACCGGAGCGUUUCGAUGGUCUUUCUCUCUUAUACUGGACAAUUAUGGGCCCUCAUGGAAUCAAUCGAGCUGUUCACCGCAUUUCUUUUUCUGAUUGUCAGAAUGGAUUAGGAGUUAAAAUUAUUGGAGGUUACCGGGCACAAACUGCAGAAGAUUAUGGGAUUUUCAUAAAGAGAAUUCUACCUGGAGGUGUUGCUGCUGUAGAUAGCCGUUUGCUCACGGGAGACCUCAUUUUGGAUGUCAAUGGAGAAAACUUAAUUGGAGUAACCAAUGAAAGGGCCGUUGACAUCUUGCGAACAGCUUCAGCAUCUAAUCACAUGUCUCUGCUAGUUGCCAGAGAUGAAGAAGCAAAGAAAGAGUUUCUUGACCUGAUGGAUAAGUAUGGCUCUCACAGUGACACCAACUCUGCAAGAAGUUCUCCAACACAGCUAUUAGCUGGAAAACCUGUAGACAGCCUUUCGUCUGGGGCAUCCUCAAGGUCACAGAGUCCUCAAUUGCAUCCAAAGGAUAUUAUUACCACCAUUAGCAGAAAUAAUUCUGUCCCUGCGCCAUCACCAAAGCUUCCAAAGGAUAGUGCAUUUCAGAUUAUCUCUGUUUGCAAGGGAACAAGCCUAGGUUUGAAUAUUGUUGGAGGAAUUGACAGAAAUGAAGGGCCUUUGGUAUACGUUCAAGAAAUUAUUCCUGGUGGUGACUGUCAUAAGGAUGGACGAUUGCAGCCUGGAGAUCAACUAGUAUCCAUAAACAAAGAGUCAAUGAUUGGCAUCUCCUAUGAAGAAGCAAAAAGUAUAAUCAACAGAGCAAAGAUGAGGUUUGAAAGUUUUUGGGAGAUAGCUUUUAUAAGACAAAAAAAUAUUCCCAGUUAUUCAGAGAAUCUGCCACGUCCUUCCAGUCUCUUAACAUCUUCUGGAACAUAUGGAGGACAACAAGCUGCAGUCCUUAGUCCUCUAGCGUCUCCUGAUGGGAAGCUUGUUUCAACAGUCACUCCUAAUGCUCUCUUUGAAGUGCAGCUCUUUAAUUACUCCCCCAUGUCCCUGCAGUCAUUAUCCAUAGCCUUUUUUUUUUUUUUUUUCUCCAAAAUAAGUUUUUUUUCCUUCCAGGCAUUGAAUUAUCUGGGGAUUCAGCCCACAGUUGAACAGCAGCAAACCCUAAGGCAGCAACUUCAGAAAGAUUCUAAAGGAACAGUGUCUUUCGGAGCACUAGAUUCUAACCAGGCCUAUUUAAUUAUGCAGUUUGUAACCUGUGGUUCUUUGGAGGAUGACGUGGAAAAGCUUAAGAAAGAAAGGGAUGAAGCUUUAAAAGAAAUGAGCAAAUUAAAGGAAGCCAAGGCAGCUGUAGAGGAGACAAGAGCCUUGAGAAGUAGGAUUCAUCUUGCUGAAGCUGCACAAAGACAGGCUCGUGGUAUGGAGAUGGACUAUGAAGAAGUAAUUCGCCUGUUAGAAGCUGAAAUCGUAGAGCUGAAGGCUCAGCUCACUGAUCAUUCUGGCCAAAAUAAAGAUAACAUCCAAGACUUGAGAAAGAGAGUUACAGUACUUGACUGCCAGCUGCGGAAAUCAGAAUCGGCUAGGAAGACCUUUGAGGUGGCUACUGAAAAACUACUACAAUUUAUAGAGGUUGUGCAUGAAAUCCUUUCAGAUAACUCUACUCCCUCAACAGUUCUAAGUGACAGAAGAAUAACCUUAUCUUCUAAAGCACUUCGGUUGGGAAGGAUUGGACCAACUGUCACCACAGCUCUUGCAGCAGAAGCCAGAGACCUUGCCAAGUCUGUCCGUGCCAUUUUGGAAGUAGACUGUCUACCAUAUGGAUGGGAAGAAGCUUAUACAGCAGAUGGAAUCAAAUACUUCAUCAACCAUGUGACCCAGACAACAUCAUGGAUCCAUCCUGUAACCAGUGCACUAAGCUUGCGUUGCUCUGAGGAUGAUGACGAUGGAAUAAGAGAGUCUCCUGUGUCCAAGAGCUGAGAACGUUCUGCUGACAAAAAGUAGUUUGUCUAAUUUCAGUACAUUAGUGAGAAGAUGCACACUUUUUAAUCUAAUUACCUUCUACUCUGAUGUAAUAGUACCCCAUGACACUUCUCCCCUUGAAGUCAGAGGGAGCACUGCUGUUUGUUUAGGUGGGUUUGUUCUUGGGUGCCUCAGAAGCUGCAGAAGUCUCUGUGCAGUCCUUAACCAGCCCCAGUUCAGUGUGCAGGGAUCAGGCUUACACUUGGGAGCUGAUGCAGUCUUUUCAUGACUUCUGUAUUGGCAUAACUCCAUUGACCUGAGAUCAAAUUUUCACAGUUUUGACCAGCAUGAGAGUUAGAUUGGGCCAUUGGAUGUACUUCACCUGGUAAAUUCCAGCUGAUGCUUUGCUGAAAGGUGUGAGGUGAGCUUUUUCUUUUUUUAACCAAUAGUAGUGAGUGUAAUGUAGAUAGAUGCCUUUUGUGCAACUACUGAAUAAUCUGAUUUUUAUAGAAGUUUUUGAAGGAGUUUUGCUGAUAGAAUUUUGACAAUUUAUUACAAGUAUUGGAGUCCUGAUGACUUUUAAAACAAAUACUUAUUUUUAAACAUUUAAGUAUUUUAAAACAAACACUUAUUUUUAAGAUCGUUGGUUGGACUUUCGGAAAAUGAAUCUUUGAUAAGUUGUCAAGUAAAAAUAAACCAUUUGGUAGAGGACA
rnacentral:lncRNA from 1 species